AUCGGACGCUGGCGGCAUGCCUUACACAUGCAAGUCGAACGGUAACAGGUCUUCGGAUGCUGACGAGUGGCGAACGGGUGAGUAAUACAUCGGAACGUGCCUAGUAGUGGGGGAUAACUACUCGAAAGAGUGGCUAAUACCGCAUGAGAUCUACGGAUGAAAGCAGGGGAUCGCAAGACCUUGUGCUACUAGAGCGGCCGAUGGCAGAUUAGGUAGUUGGUGGGAUAAAAGCUUACCAAGCCGACGAUCUGUAGCUGGUCUGAGAGGACGAUCAGCCACACUGGGACUGAGACACGGCCCAGACUCCUACGGGAGGCAGCAGUGGGGAAUUUUGGACAAUGGGCGAAAGCCUGAUCCAGCAAUGCCGCGUGCAGGAUGAAGGCCUUCGGGUUGUAAACUGCUUUUGUACGGAACGAAAAGCCCUGGGUUAAUACCCUGGGGUCAUGACGGUACCGUAAGAAUAAGCACCGGCUAACUACGUGCCAGCCGCCGCCGUAA
rnacentral:rRNA from 1 species